UGGGGAAUUUUGGACAAUGGGGGAAACCCUGAUCCAGCCAUCCCGCGUGUGCGAUGAAGGCCUUCGGGUUGUAAAGCACUUUUGGCAGGAAAGAAACGUCAUGGGUUAAUACCCCGUGAAACUGACGGUACCUGCAGCAUAAGCACCGGCUAACUACGUGCCAGCAGCCGCGGUAAUACGUAGUGUGCAAGCGUUAAUCGGAAUUACUGGGCGUAAAGCGUGCGCAGGCGGUUCGGAAAGAAAGAUGUGAAAUCCCAGAGCUCAACUUUGGAACUGCAUUUUUAACUACAGGGCUAGAGUGUGUCAGAGGGAGGGGGAAUUCCGCGUGUAGCAGUCAAAUGCGUAGAUAUGCGGAGGAACACAGAUGGCGAAGGCAACCUCCUGAAAUAAAACUGAAACUAAUGCAAGAAAGCGUGGGGAGCAAACAGG
rnacentral:rRNA from 1 species